ACGGCGACCGCCCCGGCGGCGCCAGCUGGGCCGCGGCGUGAAUGGGUGAUGUCACGCGGCCGGCGCCGGCCGGUCUGGACUGCGGGGCCGAGCCGCCGGCCGGGGGAGCCCGGGAAAGCGGGGUGUGGUGGGGGGUGGAAAGGUUUGAUGCCGCCCCUCCGCUCCCCGCUCGCUCCCGUCCAACCUAAGGCGUUCUGUGAUUUUAAAAUCUGUUCGGUCGCUGCAGAUCCAAUCUGCGGCAAGGUGAGGGCUCAGCCCCUGCCACAGUCUGCACGCGCCUCGCAGCCGGGUGACACAUCAGAGCGGUGGCACUGCCCGUGCACACAGCUGCUCGAUACGGUGUUUAAGCAACCCGCAGCCGUUCAGAUGGCAGUGGGAUUUUAACGCUGCAUGAUUCUGGUGGCCGCUUAACGGAAACGGGUCUGGGAGCAGCCCCUGACACCGGCCGCCUCCAUCAGGUUUCAAGCCUCUGCAAGAUCCUGACUGCUAGGGAACAAAGGCUGGUAUGCGGUUCCCUCAAAGCACAGCGCUUUUCCAAACACACGCAAAUACAUAAGUGAAGCAAAAUGCACUGACGACCUUAGAAAUAAUCUCCUACUAUUCUACAGUUUCUUCUGCCGGAUGGAAGAGAAGAAUGAGGAAGAACUCUUCUGUUACUAAGCUCUUGGUUGAUCCUCAUGUGAUAUGGCAACAGGAACUCCACACCAAGUACAUGAAUGGAUAAUAAGGUUACACAGCAUUCUGCUCAUCUUGGAAGGGCACGGGGUGGCCCAUCAGCAACUGAAGUACAGGGGUUUGAAGGCACCUUGAAAAGCCUCCCCCCAGCAGCACCAGACCUGCAUUUCUAGUUAUGUCUAGCUUCUCUUCCCAGUGACGACACUGGUGUGGCUUGAACCCCGUUGACAAGCAGUGUGUUCUAUAGUGUUUUAAGUAUUGGUCAGGCUGUCACAACAGUGAAAUGCAGAACUGUAAAUUAAUAUUUGGCGAGCAGGUGAUAUCUGAAAGUGACGCUGACACAUAGAAGUACUCUGACAACCAAACGACCACUGCUGAGAAACAUCAAGGCAUUUGCAUCACAGCAGAGAAGGCAGAGGUGCUUCGGCCUGCCUUGGAUGUCCUUCUGCUGUGGGAAAGGCUGUCUUUACAGUCGGGGAAAGAGAAGUGAUUUUGCCUUUUAAUUCAAAAAUGAGCCCUAAAGAUUUUGAGGAAUUCCUUAGAGCACUCACAGAGAUCAAGUAACAAAUGUGGUACUAAUAGCUUUCAAAAUGUAAAAUGUUGCAUAGGGGUAAAGGACCGCUAUUGUUUCUUCUGGAUUUUUCUGUGGCUUGAACUUAGACUGCUUUUGCUGAUGAAGCUGUUUGGGUCUCCUGCAAAUAAAUACCAGUAUCAUUGGUGUAAUGAUAACAUAUGCAGAUGAGCAUGUACGUAUCCAGAUACUUAUUUGAUUUAGGUCGAUCUGCUCAUUGUCCCCGUGGGCUGUAUUAUUUUUGUGAUUAUAGGGCCCUUAAUGCAAACUCAUAACAAACAGAAAAAUAAUAUGAGGCCAUAUCAUACCAUCAGUUUUCAGGCAGAUUAGCUGAGGAUUUCUGUCUAUAAACAAAGGGCAUGGCAUUGCACAUAAAUCCGAUCUAACUCUACACAAAAUAAAAUUAAAGUUAAGACUCCAAAUUCAA